GCGGGGGAAAAUAAGGAGUGGGUGUCGGAGGAGAUGAUCGGAGGCGGCUCCAUUGAACGCUCCUUUAAGAACAAGGGUACUGCGAAGGUUCGCGCCCUUCAUCUAGCGCCAAUCCUGUUGGUGCAAAAAUCCGCUUGCGUCGGAGAAGCUGGAGUCGAGGAAGUCGCGGUCGCCGCCGGGACCUGCAAGGGAAGUCUAAAC
rnacentral:lncRNA from 1 species